UCGCGCCUCUACACUCAUCCCUCUAAAUGCUCCAUCGGCGGCGCUAUCAGCCUUGCACCGCUGUCACACCGAACCUCCAUUGCACUGAACUUCCAUCGUACUGAGGCUCUGUUGUACCCCUUCCUGGUUCUUUUCCGUCACACCCCUUUCGUCGGCCUUGUUCGCGUCACUCCCUUUCGAACCCUAGUGUGCGUUUCUCUCUUCGAUCUCGCCACUAGUGCUUGCUCUUCUCCGUGUGUUGCUGCGUUUCUCUCUUCAAUCUUGCCUCAGCUGUGCAUAUUGAUUGGCUGAACAAGUUUCUUGAAUAGCCUUACCUUGAUAAGGACAAGAUGGAAAGCAGAGGGAGCAAAGCAAUGCCUGCACAGAAAAAUGGGCGUCGAUCGAAUCGAGAAAGGAAAAUGGCUUUGAUACAACAUGUUGAUAAGUUGAAGAGAAAGUUGAGACAUGAAGAGAAUGUGCAUAGUAUA